CAGUCGCCACGGUAAUACGAAGGGUGCAAGCGUUACUCGGAAUUACUGGGCGUAAAGCGUGUGUAGGUGGUUGUUUAAGUCUGUCGUGAAAGCCCUGGGCUCAACCUGGGAAUUGCGAUGGAUACUGGGCGACUAGAGUGCGGUAGAGGAUAGUGGAAUUUCCGGUGUAGCAGUGAAAUGCGUAGAGAUCGGAAGGAACAUCUGUGGCGAAGGCGACUAUCUGGGCCAACACUGACACUGAGACACGAAAGCGUGGGGAGCAAACAGGAUUAGAUACCCCAGUAGUCCCUGUCUCUUAUAC
rnacentral:rRNA from 1 species